rnacentral:rRNA from 1 species
AUUGAACGCUGGCGGCAGGCCUAACACAUGCAAGUCGAGCGGCAGCGGGAAAGUAGCUUGCUACUUUUGCCGGCGAGCGGCGGACGGGUGAGUAAUGCCUGGGGCUCUGCCCAGUCGAGGGGGAUAACUACUGGAAACGGUAGCUAAUACCGCAUAAGCCCUACGGGGGAAAGCAGGGGACCUUCGGGCCUUGCGCGAUUGGAUGAACCCAGGUGGGAUUAGCUAGUUGGUGAGGUAUUGGCUCACCAAGGCGACGGUCCCUAGCUGGUAUGAGAGGAUGGUCAGCCACACUGGAACUGAGACACGGUCCAGACUCCUACGGGAGGCAGCAGUGGGGAAUAUUGCACAAUGGGGGAAACCCUGAUGCAGCCAUGCCGCGUGUGUGAAGAAGGCCUACGGGUUGUAAAUCACUUUCAGCGAGGAGGAAAGGUUGGUAGCUAAUAACUGCCAGCUGUGACGUUACUCGCAGAAGAAGCACCGGCUAACUCCGUGCCAGCAGCCGCAGUAACAC